ensembl:misc_RNA 7SK 7SK RNA
GGCUGUGAGGGUGAUCUGGUUGCAACAUCUGUCACCCCAUUGAUCACCAGGGUUGAUCUGGCUGAUCAGGCUGGCCAGGCUGGCUAGGAGGGUGUCUCCUUCUUCCCUCUCUGAUCCAUGUGCAUCCCUCCUGAAGCUGUACAUGUAGAUGAAGAAGAUUACCUUUCUUGAGAGUAGAGGACCAUUAUUUGAUCAAGGGAAUAUGAGUAGCUGCACUCCCCUGCUAGACUCUCUAACCAAGCUCUCAAAUACUAACCGCUACGUAAUUUUUUUUUUCCUGCAGUGAGAAAGCAAUUCAAACCUAGUGCUAAAAUCAUCUUAUUGUCCAGAU